AUGAAAUUCUACAGGUCUUUGAAAUGCUUUACAUUUGAGAAUGAAGCUCAGCUGAAGUUUGAACAGCAUACUGACACUGCUCUUGAGUUUUUCUGGGGGAAUAUACCAGGAGACCAUAAUCAAGGUACCAGUUUAUUGAUGGCUGUUCUUAAUAAAUACAACUCUUCAAGAAAAUAAGGUAAUUUAAUGCAUAAUAAUGUUGAAUGCGUAAGUAGGAUCAAAAUUAGCUAUUUCUAAAUUGUUUAAAAAUCAGAAUUUCAUUUCAGAGUAAAAAUUAUUAUAAAGAUAAAAUAACAGUAAUGCCAUCACUAUGGAUCCUUAAUCUGCAGUUUGUGAAUGUAAAUUACUUGAUCAUGUUUCCAGACUAAUUUUUGUAAAGAAAGGUUUUAUGGGUGACAUCUACAUUUGUUACCAUAUCUUCAUUUGACAAGGCAAGCUGGUAAAUUCAUAGGUAUGGAUUAAACUGAUUCUUUCAUUACAUCUGGAAUGCAAGGAUAAAUAAAUAAUUUAUUAAAUUAAUUGAGUUCUUUUAUUCAGAUGUUUCCAAGGCGAUUAUCGUGAUACCUAAGUAAUC
ensembl:lincRNA